CACGGGUGAGUAACGCGUAUGCAACCUACCUAUCAGAGGGGAAUAACCCGGCGAAAGUCGGACUAAUACCGCAUAAAACAGGGGCACCGCAUGGUGAUAUUUGUUAAAGAAAUUCGCUGAUAGAUGGGCAUGCGUUCCAUUAGGUAGUUGGUGAGGUAACGGCUCACCAAGCCGACGAUGGAUAGGGGAACUGAGAGGUUGGUCCCCCACACUGGUACUGAGACACGGACCAGACUCCUACGGGAGGCAGCAGUGAGGAAUAUUGGUCAAUGGGCGGGAGCCUGAACCAGCCAAGUCGCGUGAAAAGGAAGAAGGAUCUAUGGUUCGUAAACUUCUUUUGCAGGGGAAUAAAGUGCAGGACGUGUCCUGUUUUGUAUGUACCCUGAGAAUAAGGAUCGGCUAACUCCGUGCCAGCCGCAGC
rnacentral:rRNA from 1 species